AGUUAUUGAUCUGUUGAAAUUGGCAAUCUGGAUCAUGAAUUGCUUGUCUUCUGGUUCAGAUGGACCAAACAGGAUUGAUUGAUUUAUUUUCUGCUGUUGUUAUUGGGGGUGUGUUGGGGUGGGAGGUUAGCCAGCUCUGACAACUUAAGAGUAGCAUUAUCUACGAGUUAUCAUUUGUGUGAAACGCAUUUAGUAGGAAAGUGGCCUUGGAAAAAAGUUAGGUGAUUGGAGAAGAAGUCGACCAUGGCACAGGUUAUUAACAAAUUGGUGUAUGAACAUUUUGUGUGUGCAACUAGGAGUGUUAUAUGUAUAAUGAUAGAAUGCUUGCAUUUUUUUAAUUUUUUUUUUUUAAAUUGAUCUUGUUAAUUUGGUAACUGUUAAAUGAUUUUUGAUUUUCUAUUCGGAAUUCAAGAAGAUGGAUAUGUUUUGCAUUAAGUGUCUACAUUAUUGUUAUCAUGUAAACUAUAAUUUUUUUUUUUUUUUUAACAUAUAUAAUUGACUGUGUAAUCCAUCCAGUGCUUCUUCAUUAAUUGUGGUGGAAGCUUUAGGUUCAAGUGUGUACAUAUUCAUCUGUGGGAGUAUAUGUGAGUUUAUGUGUAAUUAGUAAUAUUAUACAUGUGCAUUACAGCCUUUUCUGGCAUUCUUCAAAUUGCUUCUUUGUAAUUGAUGAUCCUCCAAAAGUUAUCCACAUGGUGGUAUCAUUUAUU
rnacentral:lncRNA from 1 species